NNNNNNNNNNNNNNNNNNNGAAUGCCGCGUGGAAGUAGAAGGCCCACGGAUUGUGAACUUCUUUUCCCAGAGAAGAAGCAAUGACAAUAUCUGGGGAAUAAGCAUUGGCUAACUCUGUGCCAGUAGUCGCAAUAAUAUAGAGGAUGCAAAUGUUAUCUGGAAUGAUUGGGUGUAAAGCGUCUAUAAGUGGCUUUUUAAGUUCGCUACCAAAUCUCAGGGCUCAACCUUGGAUAGGUGAUGGAAACUACCAAGCUGGAGUAUGAUAGGGACAAAGGGAAUUUUCAGUGAAGGGGUGAAAUGUGUAGGAAUCAGAAAUAACACCAAUAACGAAAGCAUUUUGCUAGGUCGGCACUGACACUGUGAGACGAAAGUUAGGGAGCAAAUGGGAUUAGAUACCCCAGUAGUCUUAGCUGUAAACGAUGGAUACUAAGCGCUAUGCGUAUUGACCCAUGAAAUGCUGUAGCUAACACGUUAAGUAUCCUAACUGGGGAGUACGUUCGUAAGAAUGAAACUCAAAGGAACUGGCGAGGGCCUGCACAAACGGUGGAGCAUGUAGUUUAAUUCGAUUCAAAUUGAAGAACCUUACCCAGACUUGACAUGCCACGAAUCCUCUUGAAAGAGAGGGGUGCCUUAAGGAAUACAGACACAGGUGGUGCAUUACUGUCGCCAGUUUGUGCCGUAAAGUAUUGGGUUAAGUCCCGCAAUCCUUGUGUUUAGUUGCCACCGUUGAGUUUGAAACCUUAAGAAAACUGUUGGUGAUAAGCCGGAGGAAGGUGAGGAUGACGUCAAGUUAGCAUGUCCCUUAUGCCUUGGGUGACACACGUGCUACAAUGGACGGGACAAAGGGUCGCGAUUCCGCAAUGGUGAGCUAACUCCAAAAACCCGUUCGCAAUUCGGAUUGCAGGCUACAACUCACCUGUAUGAAGCCAGAAUCACUAGUAAUUGUCGGUCAGCUAUACGACAGUGAAUUCGUUCCUGGGGUUUAUACACACUGCCUGUCACACUAUCGGAACUAGUCAUGCCCAAAGUCGUUACCUUAAUCGCAAUGAGAGGGAUGCCGAAGGUAGGGCUAAUGACCUGAGUGAAAUCGUAACAAAGUACCCUUAUUAUAUUAUAU
rfam:Gossypium hirsutum cultivar TM-1 chromosome 13, whole genome shotgun sequence